rnacentral:rRNA from 1 species
CACUCCUACGGGAGGCAGCAGUGGGGAAUUUUGGACCAUGGGCGAAAGCCUGAUCCAGCAAUGCCGCGUGAGUGAAGAAGGCCUUCGGGUUGUAAAGCUCUUUUGUCAGGGAAGAAACGGUGAGAGCUAAUAUCUUUUGCUAAUGACGGUACCUGAAGAAUAAGCACCGGCUAACUACGUGCCAGCAGCCGCGGUAAUACGUAGGGUGCAAGCGUUAAUCGGAAUUACUGGGCGUAAAGCGUGCGCAGGCGGUUUUGUAAGUCUGAUGUGAAAUCCCCGGGCUCAACCUGGGAAUUGCAUUGGAGACUGCAAGGCUAGAAUCUGGCAGAGGGGGGUAGAAUUCCACGUGUAGCAGUGAAAUGCGUAGAUAUGUGGAGGAACACCGAUGGCGAAGGCAGCCCCCUGGGUCAAGAUUGACGCUCAUGCACGAAAGCGUGGGGAGCAAACAGGAUUAGAAACCCCAGUAGUCCCAUG